ACAAAAACUAAAAAAAAAAUUGAUGGAUUUUUUUAUAUGGCUACAAAAGAAGAUUGUUGGAUACGUAAU
rnacentral:sRNA from 1 species